UGCCCUCCAGCAAGGGCUGCCAGCCAGAAGCUUGCUGUCCCACCCCUCCUUCAGACAAAAACAGGAAACCUCGAAGCCCAGUCCUCCUCAGAAGCCACUGCCAGCGGACCCACUGGGUAGAGGUUCCCAACUGAACAAAGCGCCAUCAACACCGCUUGAAUCUUCAAACCCUGUGCCUCGGUUAAUGCAGCCAGUCAGGCCUGCACCCAAACAUCCCCCAAAAGUGCCAAAGCCUAACAAUGUUGUUUCUGUGAAGUGACGGGGAGUGGAAACAAAUCCCGUCAACAACUGAAGACACCAAUUUGCACUAUGUUAAGAUUUAAGUUAAUCAACUUCAGUAUAUAUGUGUAUAAAUGUUAGACAUUGUGUCUCUAUGUGUUUUUUUAAGAGACUCUGAGCUAACACCUUUGGUGCUCCACCUCAAUAAGGUGCUGUGUGUCCUUGCUCAGGUACAUGCAAAUGUAUUUAUGUUUAGUAUUUAUUACAAUGCGGUGCACUGUGGUAGACACUUUUGAUGGUAACAUUUUUGUGAUCUAUUUUAGUGAACUUGAACCGUUCCGAUGUUUUGCACCAUAGCAAACUGAUUUAUUUUCCUCAGUAUGUUUGUAAAGACCACAGGAAAAAAAAAGUGCUGUGUAAUAUUCUGUGAAGCAAGAUGUUUGUGGAAACAUUUUGGCAAAUUAUAAAUUUGUAAAGUGUAAAAUGCACAGGUAAUGAGCUGACAGCCUAUUAACUACUGGAAUUUUGCUCUGCAAACAUUAAUUUCUUGAACCAGAUGUAUUUUUAGGUAAUAAUUAGACAUUUGGCUAGACUCACUCCAGUUGUAUCCAGGAUCUGAUCAAGUGUAGUUUUAUGACUGUUUUCCAUAUUGAAUCUGUGCAAAGGCAUUAUUUAAUAAUGCAUUUCAAUGUUAUGAUUUAAAAAAACAACAAUUAAGGUUAAACAGGUGAUACAUAGUAUUGGGUUUUGAAGUUAGUCUCUCCAAAAAGUGUCAAUUUCUUUUUAACAAUAAGGUAAACUUACUGAUUUACUUAUGAGAGUGGUCACUUUUAAAAUGAUGCUUUUUAAUAUAGUUAAGACCCAUGCCUCUAAGGCAGCAAGGGGAGCCACUGUUGUAAAGAUAGCAUCAUUGAAUUUGCUCAACAAGACAUCUCUCAAUAAACUUAUUAAGCAUUUACCAGAAUGACAAUAGUCUUAUAGUGCCCAAAGGAACAAGCAUACAAGUGUUUACAUGAUGACCCUGAAUAAUGCAUCUGUUUAGCAAAUGUCAUUAUUUAAAUUGUUUUACUUUCAGCUAGUUUUGUCAACACAAUCCAAUUUUAACUGCAAAGGACCAGUAAAAAUGCUUGCACUAAAACGUAAGCAGAGGCUAUUGUGUCCCUCAUGAUGCUUUUACAUCAUAGAGAGAGAAACAAAAAAGAGAAAAUGUUAAUUUAUUGGCUCGGCCCGUAUCCUCCAGGUUUGAAAUGAAACCCUUUUUUGGCUAAGCAGUUGGGAUGUCCUUCCAGAUGCAUAUCAGCAAGUUCAGCAAUACAAAAAAAAAUGAUCUAAAAACUUUUUCAAAUGUAUUUUAAGUUUUAAGGUGCUUUUAUCAUCUGUGAUAUGUAUUCCAUUCACUGGCCGUCACUUACUCUGGAUCUCUCUUUAGUAAGCACUGGGAUAAGUGAUCACAACACAAAACCUUUUUUACUUGUGGCAGAGUGCCGCUUCCUGCAACUGAGACUAAAGACGCAUUACUGUAGCAUCAUACCUAACGUAUAACAUGAAAAAAUGAAAGCAAAGUGUCAUUACAACUCUGUCUUGUGCCAAGCAAGUGGUGCAGAUAUAACUGCUUUACAAAGAUGAAACUGACUAGUUUAACCACUGCAUUGUUCUAGUUACACUUUUUAUUAAAGUACUAUCUAUACGUUGGUUUGUUAACAAACUAAUGUUUUGCUUACCUUACCGGUUAUAGAUUCAUGUUACUUCUCUUGUAAAUAUGAUAAUAAGAAUGCCAUGGAAUACUUUUUUUUUUUCUUUUGUUAUUUCAAGGUGUUACUGGUGAACACGUUCAACCAAUUUAGGAAAUAUCUCUACAAAAAAGGGGGGGGGGGGAAUAUUUCCUUGUACAAUAA